rnacentral:rRNA from 1 species
GUCGCAGCAGUCGCGAAACCUCCGCAAUACACGAAAGUGUGACGGGGCCAUCCCGAGUGCCGUCCGCUGAGGACGGCUUUUCCCCAGUGUUACACAGCUGGGGGGAAUAAAGGAGAAGGGCAAGCCUGGUGUCAGCCGCCGCGGUAAUACCAGCUCUCCGAGUGGUGGGGACGCUUAUUGGGCCUAAAGCAUCCGUAGCCGGCUGGGCAAGUCCUCCGUUAAAUCCAACGAUUCAAUCGUUGGGCUGCGGGGGAUACUGUCCAGCUUGGGGGGCGGAGAGGCCGAC